rnacentral:tRNA from 1 species
GUGGGAAUAGCUCAGUUGGUUAGAGCGUCUGAUUGUGGUCCAGAAGGUCGCCGGUUCAAUUCCGGUUUCCCACCCCA